UCUACAGCCAUACCACCCUGAACAUGCCCAAUCUCCUCUUAACUUGAAAGGUAAGCAGGGUUGACCUUGGUUAGUACUUGGAUGGGAGUACUACUAGCUAAUAUGUAUUGAUAGAA
ensembl:rRNA 5S_rRNA 5S ribosomal RNA